rnacentral:rRNA from 1 species
UGGGGAAUUUUGGACAAUGGGCGAAAGCCUGAUCCAGCCAUGCCGCGUGAGUGAAGAAGGCCUUCGGGUUGUAAAGCUCUUUUAGUCGGAAAGAAAGAGUUGCAAUGAAUAAUUGUGAUUUAUGACGGUACCGACAGAAAAAGCACCGGCUAACUACGUGCCAGCAGCCGCGGUAAUACGUAGGGUGCGAGCGUUAAUCGGAAUUACUGGGCGUAAAGGGUGCGCAGGCGGUCUUGCAAGUCAGAUGUGAAAUCCCCGGGCUUAACCUGGGAACUGCGUUUGUGACUGCAAGGCUGGAGUUCGGCAGAGGGGGGUGGAAUUCCACGUGUAGCAGUGAAAUGCGUAGAGAUGUGGAGGAACACCGAUGGCGAAGGCAGCCCCCUGGGCCUGUACUGACGCUCAUGCACGAAAGCGUGGGGAGCAAACA